rnacentral:lncRNA from 1 species
UUCGGUAUACAUUAAUGCUUUUGAUAGUUAGGGGGAUGAUUGUUCAGUAGUUAUUAUUUCAUCUUCCGUCACUAAUUCUCUUGUAAUAUAGUUUUCUUCUCUCCCUGUAUCUAUUAAUAUUAAAUAUUUUCGUUGUUCCAUUAUUCCCGUUAUGUAGUAAUGAUGUGGUUUUAUUUCUUCUUCCAUUGAAUUUUUGUAGAGUUUUAUCUAUUCUCCUUGAGGUACUCAUUUUUU